ensembl:lncRNA
CUGCUAGAUUGUUCAGAAGGUUGUUCUCAUCCAUCCAGAUGGAGGAUCAGUAACAGGAGCGUGGGAAGACUCCAGAAUCCACUCUGGCUGGAAUCCGGUGGAUACAGCAGUGUUUACAGGUACAGUACGUGAUAUUAAGGGCAGGCGGUCAUCACUGGGGGAAGACAAGAAGCAGACGUACUUCCAAGAGGGAGCUGCAGUGAGGACACAGCCUGGUCACUGAGGUCAGAGGAGGCGCUGAAAGGUUUCCCUAAUAGUUCCUGGUGAAUCAAAGCAGGACCAUAAAGGUUGCUGGACUGCAUGAUGGCCUUACCCCUGACCAGUCAUCCUGUUAAAGGAGGAACCAGUUAGAAGCUGUUUUCAAAGUAGCUGAGCAGAUUUCAUCUCAAACAAAGCCGAUGGCAGAAGAUGUUUGGAGAAGAACUUCAGGCCGUGGACUGAAAAGUAGAUCAAAGCAGCUCGUGCUCUGUCUGCUUCCAUUCUGAUGGCAAGAAGAAGAAAAAGGAGAAGACUUCAGCGAAGUGGCGUUCAUGGUCUCAGUGGACAGUCAUGGUCACACACUGCAUGUGGUUUUAAAAGCAACAUUAAGCAAAGAUUAAUCUGAUCCCAUUUCUACCUGUCUCUACUGUUUCAACUGUAACUGUCAGGAUAUAUAUUUAUUCCAGCUAGGGAUGGGUAUCGAAAACCGGUUCUUGUUGAGAACCGGUUCCCACUGUUUCAAUUCCU